rnacentral:rRNA from 1 species
UACGUAGGUGGCAAGCGUUGUCCGGAUUUACUGGGCGUAAAGAGCGCGCAGGCGGUCGUUCAAGUCGCGUGUGAAAGCCCCCGGCUCAACUGGGGAGGGUCACGCGAUACUGAUCGACUCGAAGACAGGAGAGGGUAGUGGAAUUCCCGGUGUAGUGGUGAAAUGCGUAGAUAUCGGGAGGAACACCAGUGGCGAAGGCGACUACCUGGCCUGUUCUUGACGCUGAGGCGCGAAAGCUAGGGGAGCAACGGGG